AUAAAUGAAUACGUUAUACCGUAGACAGCAGGUGCGGUUUCCGCUUAAUUUCCUGCCGAGGUGUGUGAUAUAAAUAGAGCAGCGCCAUCUGCCCUGCUCUAUAAACACCUCCAUGUCUUUGUGGGGGUGUUUUUUUAUGAGUAA
rfam:Halobacillus karajensis, HD-03, WGS project CCDI01000000 data, contig: 000009